AGGCUGAGACUGCUGCCAACCGGAUCUGCAAGGUGCUGGCUGUGAACCAGGAAAAUGAGCACCUGAUGGAAGAUUACGAGCGCCUGGCCAGUGAUCUUCUAGAGUGGAUCCGGCGCACCAUCCCCUGGCUGGAAGACCGUGUGCCUCAGAAGACCAUCCAGGAGAUGCAGCAGAAGCUGGAGGACUUCCGAGACUAUAGGCGUGUGCACAAGCCCCCCAAGGUACAGGAGAAGUGUCAGCUGGAGAUCAACUUCAACACCCUGCAGACCAAGCUGCGGCUGAGCAACCGGCCUGCCUUCAUGCCCUCCGAGGGCAGGAUGGUCUCGGACAUCAACAAUGGGUGGCAACAUCUGGAGCAGGCUGAGAAGGGCUAUGAAGAAUGGCUCUUGAAUGAAAUCCGUAGGCUGGAACGACUUGAUCACCUGGCAGAGAAAUUCCGGCAGAAGGCUUCCAUCCAUGAGGCCUGGACCGAUGG
rnacentral:lncRNA from 1 species